rnacentral:rRNA from 1 species
AACGAACGCUGGCGGCAUGCCUAACACAUGCAAGUCGAACGAGACCUUCGGGUCUAGUGGCGCACGGGUGCGUAACGCGUGGGAACCUUCCCUUAGGUUCGGAAUAACUCCCCGAAAGGGGUGCUAAUACCGGAUAAUGUCUUCGGACCAAAGAUUUAUCGCCUUUGGAUGGGCCCGCGUUGGAUUAGCUAGUUGGUAGGGUAAAAGCCUACCAAGGCGACGAUCCAUAGCUGGUCUGAGAGGAUGAUCAGCCACACUGGGACUGAGACACGGCCCAGACUCCUACGGGAGGCAGCAGUGGGGAAUAUUGGACAAUGGGCGAAAGCCUGAUCCAGCAAUGCCGCGUGAGUGAUGAAGGCAUUAGGGUUGUAAAGCUCUUUUACCCGGGAUGAUAACGACAGUACCGGGAGAAUAAGCUCCGGCUAACUCCGUG